rnacentral:lncRNA from 1 species
UUUGCCUUUAAUCUUAUUACUGAUCCACUAAAACUUUUCAGUUUUGAAAUUUUAUUUGUAUUCACGUCAUUUGAAAUUUACUGCAAGUUACCUUUUGAUGCUCUUUGAAUAUUUUGAGUGUUUUUAAUCUUCUUUACAUAAAAAAUACAUGGAAAAGAAAAUGGAAGCGGGACAAGAACUUUUCAUAUGAGAGAAAAAUGAGGAAAUGGGAAAAGAGGG